UGUGGGUCAAGCUUUUAUGGGUGAAGCUUUUGUGGGUCAAGCUUUUGUGGGUCAAGCUUUUGUAGGUGAAGCUUUUGUGUUGAAGCUUUUGUGGGUGAAGUUUUUGUGUUGAAGCUUUUGUAGGUGAAGCUUUGGAGUUGAAGCUUUGUAGGUGAAGCUUUGGAGUUGAAGCUUUUGUUGGGUACCAUGAAUUGAUUUUUCUUCACACUAUCUUGAUCAAGAUAGUAUGAAGCUUUUGAGAAUUUGUAGUUAUCCUCCAUUGAUGAAGCUUUUGUUGGUGAAGCUUUGGAGUUAAAGUUUUGUAGGUGAAGCUUUGGAGUUGAAGCUUUGGAGUUGAAGCUUUGUAGGUGAAGCUUUGGAGUUGAAGCUUUUAUUGGGUACCAUGAAUUGAUUUUGCUUCACACUAUCUUGAUCAAGAUA
rnacentral:lncRNA from 1 species